rnacentral:rRNA from 1 species
GAUGAACGCUGGCGGCGUGCCUAAUACAUGCAAGUCGAACGGAAUCUAAUAGUUGGCUUUUAAUCCAUGGUUUUUUCUUCUAGGGAAAAGAGCAAAGUAACUUGCCCAAAGCUUGCUUUGGGUCGGCUUUGCCGAUUGCCCGAUGAGAAAAACCGUAGGUUUGGUCUGAUAUGGAUUUAGUGGCGGACGGGUGAGUAACACGUUGGUACCUACCCUCUAGUGGGGAAUAAUUCCGCGAAAGCGGGACUAAUACCGCAUAAUACCGCAAGGUUAAAGCAGUAAUGCGCUAGAGGAGGGGCCGUGCGUCCCA